rnacentral:rRNA from 1 species
AACCGAGAACUCCUACGGGAGGCAGCAGUGGGGAAUUUUGGACAAUGGGGGCAACCCUGAUCCAGCAAUGCCGCGUGAGUGGAGAAGGCCUUCGGGUUGUAAAGCUCUUUUGUCAGGGAAGAAACGGUAGUAGCUAAUAUCUAUUACUAAUGACGGUACCUGAAGAAUAAGCACCGGCUAACUACGUGCCGGCAGCCGCGGUAAUACGUAGGGUGCAAGCGUUAAUCGGAAUUACUGGGCGUAAAGCGUGCGCAGGCGGUUGUGUAAGUCAGAUGUGAAAUCCCCGGGCUCAACCUGGGAAUUGGAUUUGAGAAUGCACGGAUAGAGUGUGUCAGAGGGGGGUAGAAUUCCACGGGUAGCAGGGAAAUGCGUAGAUAUGUGGAGGAAUACCGAUGGCGAAGGCAGCCCCCUGGGAUAACACUGACGCUAAUGCACGAAAGCGUGGGGAGCAAACAGGAUUAGAAACCCGUGUAGUCCGACUGAGA